UACAGAGGGUGCAAGCGUUAAUCGGAAUUACUGGGCGUAAAGCGUGCGUAGACGGUUGCGUAAGUCAGAUGUGAAAGCCCCGGGCUCAACCUGGGAAUUGCAUUUGAGACUGCGUAGCUAGGGUGCGGAAGAGGGAAGCGGAAUUUCCGGUGUAGCGGUGAAAUGCGUAGAUAUCAAGAGGAACACCUGAGGUGAAGACGGGUUGCUGGGCCAACACUGACGCUGAUGCGCGAAAGCCAGGGGAGCAAACGGG
rnacentral:rRNA from 1 species